rnacentral:rRNA from 1 species
CGAGAAUUUUUCACAAUGGGCGCAAGCCUGAUGGAGCGACGCCGCGUGGGGGAUGAAUGGCUUCGGCCCGUAAACCCCUGUCAUUUGCGAUCAACCGUUAUUAUUUAAAAGAUGAUAACCUGAUAGUAGCGAAAGAGGAAGGGACGGCUAACUCUGUGCCAGCAGCCGCGGUAAUACAGAGGUCCCAAGCGUUGUUCGGAUUUACUGGGCGUAAAGGGUGCGUAGGUGGCGGUGUAAGUCGGAUGUGAAAUCUCCGAGCUCAACUCGGAAACUGCAUUGGAAACUACAUUGCUCGAGGGUUGGAGGGGGGACUGGAAUACUUGGUGUAGCAGUGAAAUGCGUAGAUAUCAAGUGGAACACCAGUGGCGAAGGCGAGUCCCUGGACAACUCCUGACACUGAGGCACGAAAGCUAGGGGAGCAAACA